rnacentral:rRNA from 1 species
GGAAUCUUCCACAAUGGGCGAAUGCCUGAUGGAGCAACGCCGCGUGUGUGAUGAAGGGUUUCGGCUCGUAAAACACUGUUGUAAGAGAAGAAUGACAUUGAGAGUAACUGUUCAAUGUGUGACGGUAUCUUACCAGAAAGGAACGGCUAAAUACGUGCCAG